AGGAGUGUAGCUCAGUGGUAAAGCACUUGCCUAGCAUGUGUGAGGUCCUGGAUUUUAUCUCCAGCACUUCAG
rnacentral:tRNA from 2 species